rnacentral:lncRNA from 10 species
CGGAACCCCCAGCAGCAACCUGCUUGCGUCGCUUCCUGCACUUUGGCGGCUUUGUUCUUUAGCUCUUUGCAAUAAAUCUUGCUGCUGCUCACUCUUUGGGUCCACACUGCCUUUAUGAGCUGUAACACUCACCACGAAGGUCUGCAGCUUCACUUCUGAAGCCAGCGGGACCACGAACCCACUGGGAGGAACGAACAACUCUAGACGCACUGCCUGAAGAGCUGUAACACUCACCGUGAAGGUCCACAGCUUCACUCCUGAGCCAGUGAGACCAUGAACCCACCAGAGGGAAGAAACUCGGAACACAUCUGAACAGCAGAAGGAACAAACUCCGGACACGCCGCCUUUAAGAACUAUAACACUCACGGCGAGGGUGCGCGGUUUCAUUCUUGAAGUCAGUGAGACCAAGAACCCACCAAUUCUGGACACAUGGCCACUGAGCACUCCCUGCUCGGGGCUGCACCUCAGCAACAACAGAGGCUAUGAUACCGGGCUGGAGGGCGCUGAAACGUUAGGAACAAGCUCUGAAGUCUUGAUCCAAAACAGACAAGGCUUUAAUAUGAAAGCAUUUUUCUUUGAAGAAGUUCACCCUGAAGCCUUGGCCCAAUGAUCUCAGAAGAUGAGAGAGAAUGGCAAACCAAAAAGUAAGAUAGAUAAGUGAGGCAAGACCAAAAAGUCAUUUAAAGGUCAAAAGAAGAAGAUAAAUUCAGUUACAUUAUUCUUUGAAAAGUGGCUUCCGCUCAUGCAUAAAUGCCAACAUUUGAAAGUCAUUAUCAAGAAUAUCAAAGGAGAAAAUGUUCUUCUUUGUAUCUUUCAAUUUACUGAACAAGAAGUUUCUUUGCUAUAGAAUGCUAAAACAAGAAAGUAUGCAACUGAAAAUUUUUAGGUUAUCCCUCGGUAACAUUUGAUAACCUGUCAUAUUCAUGACAAAUACAUUCUUUAGUGGUAGCUUGGGCACAUUUGUUUUGGCUUUGGAUGGGAAAUAGUACCAUAAACAAUACUCAAUAUCUCUGUGCCAUUCAGCCAGAUAUGGCAAACCCAGUAUUUAUUAAGGGCUGCCUCCUGCUUCUCUAGGUUUUUCUAGACCAGAGGUGGAACCUGAUAGAGCCUUUUUCAUAUGCCCACAGAAGUAGCUCUAGUUUAAGGGUAGACAGUGGUAAUCCAAAUUCCUGAAUUCAGCCCAUGUCCAACUUGAGUGAGAAUCACUCUUAUUUGGGGUGUCAACACCAUUCUGGUGCCCCAGUCUUGCAGUUCUGGGUGAAAUCAUGAAGGGAAUCAUGUCAGCCAGUGGUGGUGAUGGUAAUGUUGCAUGUGGGGUCUGUGGGCAGGGUUGGUACAGUAUUAGAGAACCUCCUGCAGAGGAGAUCAAAAUCAGCUCCUUACAGGUAUCUAUCCAGGUUUGAGGUGCCCUGCCUACAUGGCACUGCAAGCUCUAGUUUUUGAAUAAUAACAAAUAAAGUGGAUUUAACUGUGGUUAAUUUAAAUAGGAUAUUGGAUUUUUGUUCCUAAUCACGAACUUGGCUAGCUCAUAAUUUAAUAUUUACUUGAUGUCUAAUUAGGCAAGUGUCUUGUUAACUGUUAAAUUAAAGUUAGAAAUGGAAUAUAUUUGAAUAGUCCCCUUUGUUAUAAGGAUGAUAUCUUAUUCAGAUCACUCAAUUUCUCUUCAUUCUUGAAGAACUUAUUACCUAUUUUUAUUAAUUAUUUUCAAUGAGCAUUUUUUAAGAAAAAAUUAACUGUACAAAUUUUAGACCAACAAAAAUAUUGUACUCAACCCAUUUCUGCUAAGGUUAACACUUUACAAAGCCUAACAAUUGUAUCAAUAUCAGAAUAUUAACAUCAAUGUAUUUUUAAAAUUUUUUAAUUAGUUUUUUUAAAUUAUACUUCAAGUUCUGGGUUACAUGUGCAGAAUGUGCAAUUUUGUUACGUAGGUAUACACGUGCCAUAGUGGUUUGCUGCAUCCAUCAGCCCGUCAUCUACAUUAGGUAUUUCUCCUAAUGUUAUCUCUCCCCUAGCGCCCCACCCCCUGACAGGCCCUGGUGUGUGAUGUUCCCCU